GAUGAACGCUGGCGGCGUGCCUAAUACAUGCAAGUAGAACGCUGAAGGAGGAGCUUGCUCUUCUGGAUGAGUUGCGAACGGGUGGGUAACGCGUAGGUAACCUGCCUGGUAGCGGGGGAUAACUAUUGGAAACGAUAGCUAAUACCGCAUGACAACAGUUAUUGCAUGAUAACUGUUUAAAAGGGGCAACUGCUCCACUACCAGAUGGACCUGCGUUGUAUUAGCUAGUUGGUGAGGUAACGGCUCACCAAGGCGACGAUACAUAGCCGACCUGAGAGGGUGAUCGGCCACACUGGGACUGAGACACGGCCCAGACUCCUACGGGAGGCAGCAGUAGGGAAUCUUCGGCAAUGGACGGAAGUCUGACCGAGCAACGCCGCGUGAGGGAAGAAGGGUUUCGGAUCGUAAAGCUCUGUUGUAAGAGAAGAACGAGUGUGAGAGUGGAAAGUUCACACUGUGACGGUAUCUUACCAGAAAGGGACGGCUAACUACGUG
rnacentral:rRNA from 1 species